rnacentral:rRNA from 1 species
GAUGAACGCUGGCGGCGUGCCUAAUACAUGCAAGUCGAGCGAACAGACGAGGAGCUUGCUCCUCUGACGUUAGCGGCGGACGGGUGAGUAACACGUGGAUAACCUACCUAUAAGACUGGGAUAACUUCGGGAAACCGGAUCUAAUACCGGAUAAUAUAUUGAACCGCAUGGUUCAAUAGUGAAAGACGGUUUUGCUGUCUCUUAUAGAUGGAUCCGCGCCGCAUUAGCUAGUUGGUAAGGUAACGGCUUACCAAGGCAACGAUGCGUAGCCGACCUGAGAGGGUGAUCGGCCACACUGGAACUGAGACACGGUCCAGACUCCUACGGGAGGCAGCAGUAGGGAAUCUGCCGCAAUGGGCGAAAGCCUGACGGAGCAACGCCGCGUGAGUGAUGAAGGUCUUCGGAUCGUAAAACUCUGUUAUUAGGGAAGAACAAAUGUGUAAGUAACUAUGCACGUCUUGACGGUACCUAAUCAGAAAGCCACGGCUAACUACGUG